GCUCUCUUUGGGAGCACAUAUACUAAAAUUGAAAUUGACACAAAAGAUUAGUAUGGUCCCUGCACAAGGAUGACAUGCAAAUUCAUGAGGCAUUCCAUAUUUUU